rnacentral:rRNA from 1 species
UACAGAGGGUGCGAGCGUUGUCCGGAAUCACUGGGCGUAAAGGGCGCGUAGGUGGCGCGACAAGUCAGUGGUGAAAGUUCGACGCUCAACGUCGAAUCGGCCACUGAUACUGUUGGGCUUGAGCACUGUAGAGGCUAAUGGAAUUCCGGGUGUAGCGGUGGAAUGCGUAGAGAUCCGGAAGAACACCGGUGGCGAAGGCGGUUAGCUGGGCAGUUGCUGACACUGAGGC